rnacentral:rRNA from 1 species
UACGGAGGAUCCAAGCGUUAUCCGGAUUUAUUGGGUUUAAAGGGUGCGUAGGCGGCUUAUUAAGUCAGGGGUGAAGACGGUGGCUCAACCAUCGCAGUGCCUUUGAUACUGAUGAGCUUGAAUGGACUAGAGGUAGGCGGAAUGUGACAAGUAGCGGUGAAAUGCAUAGAUAUGUCACAGAACACCGAUUGCGAAGGCAGCUUACUAUGGUUUUAUUGACGCUGAGGCACGAAAGCGUGGGGAUCAAACAGG